AGAAAUUAAUGGACGGACCAUUGGUUGGGAUCAUUUUGGAGAACGAAGAAACAUAUAGAAAGAGAGUGACGUAGAUAGAAAUGUGGGGAGGAGAUUAUAUUAAAGGGCAACGAUGCUGAAUCUUCUUCUCUUAUAUAUCACACCCACACAAAAACAUUAAUUUGGUGAAACAAUUUCGAGGGAUAAUUGAUCAAUACAAAUAAAUAAUAAAUUGUGUUGGUGGUAGGAGAAGCAUGAAAAAAACAAAGAAGCAAAGUAAUUAUAUAUGCUUAUUUGUAAUUUUGAAAUAGCAUAUUUAUUCAGUAAAAUUUUAGCUUACAUUAUUUUUCUCAGUUCACUUUUUAAUAAUUUUUUAUAGUUGGAGUAUAUGAACUGAAACUCAACUAAUCUUUUAAAAGUUUUGAUCAAUAGGUUGUAUACUUUAGAUAGAAUUCUCAAAAAUUCUAUUUCUGGAAAGUUUUCAUUUUUGUGAAUGAUAGUGUGGAUUUGGGGUUUUGAUUUAGAAAUUAGGACAAUAAGAAUUUUUUAUUUAUAGAUAAGUAUCCCUUAUAUACUAAAGCACAAGUCACUUGAGCAAUCAAAUUUUGACAUGUGGCUUAUGCUUUUAAAAAAGAUAAAAAUGAAAAAUUUCAGCAUUUAUAAAAUUAAUUUAAUUAAAAUUAAGCUAAAAACUGUUCCAAAAGAACUCCACGGGACUUGCAAAAAAAAAAGAACUCCACUGGGACCACGAUCCCUCAUUUUCAUGGCACUAUUUCAACUGCUUCAUAUUCUAUAUAAUUUCCAAGUUAUUAUUAUUUUUAUCUAUCUUCUCUUUUAUUAAGAUUAAUCGUUUCAUCUGUUCAUCAUUUUCUACAUUUGAAUGUAGAAACAAAAAUCAAUAGAGCUUUAAGACUACCUUUUUAUUCAAAUUCAUUUUGUUUUGAUUCUCAAAAUAAUAUUCUCUUAUUUAUUUUUAUAUGAUUCAUCUAAAAUUUUUUUAUGGAUUUUUCAUCGAACGAGAAAGGGAAAUGGAAUUGGGGUUUUGAUUUAGAAAUUAGGACAACAAGAAUUUUUUGUUUAAAGAUGAGUAUUCUUUUAGAUUUUUUGAUCAAUAGUUGUAUUUUUAAAAAAAUAAUUUUCAAAAAUUCUAUUUUAGGAAAGUUUUCAUUUUUUUAUAGAAAUAUUGUAGAUUUGGGGUUGUGAUUUUUAAAUUAGGAUAAUAAGAAUUUUUGUUGAUAGAUGAGUAUUUUUUAAGAUUUUUUUAUCAAUAGGUUGUAUAUUUUAGAUAAAAUUCUCAAAAAUUCUAUUUAAGUAAAGUUUUUAUUUUUAUUGAGAACUAUUAUAGAUUUGGGGAUGUGAUUUAGAAAUUAGGAUAACUAGAAUUUUUGUUGAUAGAUGAGUCUUCUUUUAAAAUUUUUGAUUAAUAGAUUGUAUACUUUAGAUAAAAUUCGCAAAAAUUUUAUUUUUGGAAAGUUUUCAUUUUUGUGAAUAAUAGUGUGGAUUUGGGGUUUUGAUUUAGAAAUUAGGACAACAAGAAAUUUUUGUUUAUAGAUGAGUAUUCUUUUAGAUUUUUAGAUCAAUUGUUGUAUUUUUUAAAAAUAAUUCUGAAAAUUUCUAUUAUAUAAAAGUUUUCAUUUUUUAUAGAAAUAUUGUAGAUUUGGGGUUGUGAUAUAGAAAUUAGGAUAACAAGAAUUUUUGUUGAUAGAUGAGUAUUUUUUAAGAUUUUUUUAUCAAUAGGUUGUAUAUUUUAGAUAAAAUUCUCAAAAUUUCUAUUUUAGGAAAAUUUUUAUUUUUUAUAGAAAUAUUGUAGAUUUGGGGUUGUGAUAUAGAAAUUAGGAUAACAAGAAUUUUUGUUAUUAGAUGAGUAUUUUCUAAGAUUUUUUUGUCAAUAGGUUGUAUAUUUUAGAUAAAAUUCUCAAAAUUUCUAUUUUAGGAAAAUUUUUAUUUUUUAUAGAAAUAUUGUAGAUUUGGGGUUGUGAUAUAGAAAUUAGGAUAACAAGAAUUUUUGUUAUUAGAUGAGUAUUUUCUAAGAUUUUUUUGUCAAUAGGUUGUAUAUUUUAGAUAAAAUUCUCAAAAUUUCUAUUUUAGGAAAGUUUUUAUUUUUUAUAGAAAUAUUGUAGAUUUGGGGUUGUGAUAUAGAAAUUAGGAUAACGAGAAUUUUUGUUGAUAGAUGAGAGUCUUCUUUUGAAAGUUUUGAUGAAUAGGUUGUAUACUUUAGAUAAAAUUCUCAAAAAUUCUAUUUUUGGAAAGUUUUCGUUUUUGUGAAUAAUAGUGUGGAUUUGGGGUUUUGAUUUAGAAAUUAUGACAAAAAGAAUUUUUUGUUUAUAGAUGAGUAUUCUCUUAGAUUUUUAGAUCAAUUACUGUAUUUUUUAAAAAUAAUUCUCAAAAAUUCUAUUUUAGGAAAGAUUUCAUUUUUUAUAGAAAUAUUGUAGAUUUGGGGUUGUGAUUUAUAAAUUAGGAUAAUAAUAUUUUUUGUUGAUAGAUGAGUAUUUUUUAAGAUUUUUUUAUCAAUAGGUUGUAUAUUUUAGAUAAAAUUCUCAAAAAUUCUAUUUAAGAAAAUUUUUUAUUUUUAUUGAGAACUACUGUAGUUUUCGGGUUCUGAUUUAGAAAUUAGGAUAACAACAAUUUUUGUUGAUAGAUGAGUCUUCUUUUAAAAGUUUUGAUCAAGAGUUUGUAUACUUUAGAUAAAAUUCUCAAAAAUUCUAUUUUUGGAAAGUUUUCAUUUUUGUGAAUAAUAGGGUGGAUUUGGGGUUUUGAUUUAGAAAUUAGGACAACAAGAACUUUUUGUUUAUAGAUGAGUAUUCUUUUAGAUUUUUUAGAUCAAUUGUUGUAUUUUUAAAAAAUAAUUCUCAAAAUUUCUAUUUUAGGAAAGUUUUCAUUUUUUUAUAGAAAUAUUUUAGAUUUUGGAUUGUGAUAUAGAAAUUAGGAUAACAAGAAUUUUUGUUGAUAGAUGAGUAUUUUUUUAAGAUUUUUUUAUCAAUAAGUUGUAUAUUUUAGAUAAAAUUCUCAAAAUUUCUAUUUUAGGAAAGUUUUCAUUUUUUUAUAGAAAUAUUUUAGAUUUUGGAUUGUGAUAUAGAAAUUAGGAUAACAAGAAUUUUUGUUGAUAGAUGAGUAUUUUUUAAGAUUUUUUUAUCAAUAGGUUGUAUACUUUAGAUAUAAUUCUCAAAAAUUCCAUUUUUGGAAAGUUUUCAUUUUUGUGAAUAAUAGUGUGGAUUUGGGGUUUUGUUUAGAAAUUAGAACAACAAGAAUUUUUUGUUUAUAGAUGAGUAUUCUUUUAGUUUUUAGAUCAAUUGUUGUAUUUUUUAAAAAUAAUUCUCAAAAUUUCUAUUUUAGGAAAGUUUUCAUUUUUUAUAGAAAUAUUUUAGAUUUGGGGUUGUGAUUUAUAAAUUAGGAUAACAAGAAUUUUUGUUGAUAGAUGAGUAUUUUUUAAGAUUUGUUUUAUCAAUAGGUUGUAUAUUUUAGAUAAUAUUCUCAAAAUUCUAUUUAAGGAAAGUUUUUAUUUUUUAUAGAAAUAUUAUAGAUUUGGGGUUGUGAUUUAAAAAUUAGGAUAACAAGAAUUUUUUUUGAUAGAUGAGUAUUUUUAUGAUUUUUUUAUCAAUAGGUUGUAUAUUUUAGUUAAAAUUCUCAAAAAUUUUAUUUAAGGAAAGUUUUUAUUUUUAUUGAGAACUAUUGUAGUUUUGGGGUUAUGAUUUAGAAAUUAGGAUAAUUAGAAUUUUUGUUGGUAGAUGAAUCUUUUUUUUAAAAGUUUUGAUUAUUAUUUGUUUAUCCAUACAAGGAGAUGUUUAGAUUGCGGUUUAGGUCGUAAUAUUUUAUCGGGCCUCAUCAAAUUUUAUAAGAGAUCUAUUUAUGGAUGUUUUUGCCCCAAAAAGACACUUUUCCAAAACAAAUAUAC
rnacentral:lncRNA from 1 species